AAUUUUCUAGCUACUAAAAGAGUUAUUGUCUGACUCGUUUUAACACAUGUCGAAAGACAUAUUUAUUACUCUUUUACAAGCUAAAAGCUCAAGUGGAGCGAUCUAUGGGCUUCUUGCAGUUUACCAACACGACAAUGGCCGAAUUGUCCGUAUAGGAUAUUUUUUAUUGGCCCGUACGUCCCAACCUGCCAUGUCUUUGGUUUUAAAAAUGGCGUAUACAAGCUUUUUGUUUGCCGGUGUACGCUGUUGAAUACUUUCCAAGACCUCGCGUGUACUCGGAUAAGACCUAAACGUCGUGAAUAUGAAAUUAAAGUACAUGUGUAGGUAUAUAAUCAACUCUGUGGACCCCGUGAACGAAAUUUUGUAGCGUUAUGGUGAAUUAGAAUGGUGCCUGUGGCUUGUCAAUCUCGCACGUCGUCAGGUUACCCGUUCGUAACGUAAAUAUCACCCAGCGAGCGUUUUAUAUUUCAGAUAUGUCAGCGUCGCAAAACAGUAGAUAAUGGAGAGUUCAGAAGAUGAUGCGGGCGCAGCGACGAACGCUUCCCGCCGUGCAUCGGCGCGGGAAAAGGACGUCGGUCUGGCCGAGGACGUCAAUGCAACUAGUAGUUUCCAGCAGGAACCAUCAGAAGCGCGGCCGUCGUGUGAAACUCCUGCGAUGUCGGAGGAUAAUUUCGACGGCGAUAGCGUUCCGUCGCCGUCGGCGCAGGACGUCAACACGAGCACCGAGGCGAUUUUGGAUAUGAUAGAUGAAAUCGUCGACGGCCCUGGCGCACCGAAGCGGGUACCGCUAGCAUCAGAAUUUGUUGAGACGCGUUUUGACGAGCUCGAAAUCAUCAGUGAACACGCGAAUAUCAUACAGGAAUCAACUAAGAGCGAAUGCGAGGACUCCUUUGCACCGCCGGUGGUAGCAUCAUCUGCCGACAGUGCCAAAAGCGAACCAUUGCUUGAAGAAGCAGGCAAAGAUUCACAAGCCGAAUCCUCCUCUAUUAGUGAUAAAUCACCAGACACUUUAAAUGCAAAUAGUGUGGAUUCAUUACCAGAAAGUUUAUCUCUGCCUGAGAGUAAUGAGCCUGCAGUGUUUACACAACCGGAAGACAGUCAGACAAGUAGUCUGUCAGAAGAGGUGCCUGAGGCCCCAGUUGCAUGCCCUCCGCCUGAGGUGGGACCUCAGGAACCAGCUAGAAGUCCUGCAACCAAUGAGGUACCAGAGGCGCCAAGUAGUCCUCCAUGUAAUGUGGUACCUGAGGCACCAGCCAGUUGCUCAUUACCCAAUGUGGUACCUGAGGCCCCUACAAGCUGCCCGCCACCUAUUCCUUCCAGCAGUGAAGAAAAGACUGUGCAAAACAAUUCAGAUGUUAGUGCGUGUGAAACACAGGAACAAACAGUGAAAUGUGUGUCAUCCAGUGAUAGUAGGGACAAUGUGACUGUAGAAAGUGCAGAAUCAACGUCUAGUGAUAGUAGUGUAAGUGAGGGUAAAGCAGUGCUCGUGGAACCACAGGUGCGGUCUCCGCUCCGACGGCGACUGAUACGGCCCGCACCUAGUGACAGACGACCGGACUCUACUGUGUCCUCGACAGUUGAUUCACAAGUUGUUCAUUUACCCGCUACUGAACAAAAAAGUAGUGAAAGUAUCACCAAGGAUGUGACAAGUUCAUCUGAUGCUGUGCCCACAAUACAUGGUAAUGUAAAACCAGAAGAGAUUAGAAAUGUAAGUGAAAUUAACUUCUGCAAAGCAGAAACUUCUGUGAGUCCUCCUAAAAAAAUUAAGCUUAUUAGGCAAAAAGUUAUUACUGGUACUAGUAAUAGAGAAUCUUCUGUUAAUCAAUCAGCUAUUCAAUCAGAUAAGGAUCAGUGUCAAUCAACUUCAUCUGAUAACAAUUCAAUACUCUUGCCUGAGCCUCAAAUAGAAUCUUCAAAUACUGUUAGUGUCCCUCAAUCUCAAGAUGUCAAUCAAGCAUCUACUGUCAGCAAUUGUGUAUCAGAAAAGCCUGUUAAAAGUCCCGAACAGUCACUUUGCUCUGUUGGACAUUCCCAACCCAGUAUAGAACAUCAGCUACCAAACCAAGAUGCUGAAAAACACAUUGAAAAUGAACAAGUUGCACCCGCAGAGCCUAGCAUACGUCUACCAAAUGCUUCAGAGCCAAUCUCUGAGGCUGAUGUUAAUACUAGCGAAAUAGUACAAGAAGUUAGUAGUAUGCCAGAGCCAAGUCCAGCUGAGCUUCCUGAAGAAGUAAAAUUAAAUGACAUUGGCCAGAGCAGUGAACAUAGUGUAGAUCAUGAUAUAUGCAAAGACUCAAAAGAAGAAACCACUCAAAAUGAAGUGCUGAUACCAGAAAAUACAAAGGAGGAUCAAUCAAAUGUAUCAACAUCAGAAAAUUCUGAACCAGAAAAUACAAGUAAAGAAGUUUUACCUGAUCAACAGAAGGUUCCACCUAUUAAACUCAACUUAUCUAUGUCUAAUCUGUCUGAAUCUAAAUUAGAGGCAGAACAAACCAGUAUUAGUAAAAACAGUGUUAUUCAUGAAGAAUCUGAAGUCAAACAGGUUCCAAAAUUAACAAUCAAACUAAAACAACCUGAUGAAGUUAAAUCACCUGUACCUAAAGUAACAAUAAAACCCAUCAGGCCACCUGUUGAUCAAAAUACUGAAGAUCUAAAUGAAAAAGUCCAGCCAGUACCAAGUGUAACUAAACUAAAUAUAAAGCCCAUUCUGAAACCUCCAGAAAAUUCAAAUGAGAAGUCAAUAAAAUCACAGCAUGGUGAUGAUAGAUCAAUUAACUCCAGCGAACAAUUACCUUGUAUCACAAAGUUAAAUAUUAAACCAAUUCCUAAACCACCAGAGAAAAUAAACGAUAUUCAUAGAAAAUCUAGUAGUAGUGAAAUAUCUGAAUCGGAAUAUUCCGAAAAUGAUGAAACUAGUACUUCAGAUCAAGCAUCUACUUCUGAUCAAGGACCCUCUGAUGUUGUUCCAAAGGUUACUAUAAAACUAGGAAAACCUGGCACUGAAAGUGAAGGUAAAUUUUAUACAGAGAAAAAUGUCCCAAAACUUACCAUAAAAGGUUUUCAAUCAGAAGAUAAUGAAGAAUCGGAACCAAAAUUAAAGUUGGUUAUCAGCCAAUCUGAGUUAUCUUCAGACACACAACCAGAGAAGAUCCCUAAACUGACUAUAAAAACAGUAUCAAAAUCAGAAAGCCAGCCACUUAGUCCAAAGCUCACUAUUAAACCAAUAAAACCCCCAGAUACUACAAAUAAAGAUGAAAUUCCUAAAAUUAAGAUAUCUACAGAAUCAUUCACUUCAUCUAGCGAAUUUAAGGAGAGUUCACAUGUGCCUAAAAUUACGAUUAAACCUGUAACAAGGUCAAGUACAGCAAUGUGUGACAGUCCUGAACAUAUCCCUGUAGUAACGAAAUUGAACAUCAAGCCUAUUGUGAAACCUACAGACAGCGGAGAGCCCUCCGAGGACUUUGAUGAUAAAGUUCCUGUAGUUUCAAAAUUAAAUAUAAAACCUGUAAUAAAGCCUAAAGAUAAUGAUGUAGAUUCUAGUGUAGAUGAUGUACCUAAAAUUACUAAAUUAAAUAUUAAACCAAUAAAGAAUCCUGAGGAGAAUUCUUCAGAAGAAAAAGACUGUGAUGAAAUGAAUGCUGACAUUGAUGAAAAUAGUAUACCUGUUGUUACUAAAAUUAAUAUUAAGCCUAUUAUUAAGCCUCAAGAUGAAGAAACAUUAAAGGAUUCUGAAAACCAAUCAUCCGAGACUGGAAAUUCAAGUGAUGACAAUGGAGAUCAUAUACCUGUUGUUACAAAAUUAAAUAUUAAACCUAUCAUAAAACCUGAUAGCUUAGAUGAAUCAUCUAAAACAGUUUCAUCAAGUGAACAAAGCAUUCCUGUUGUAACUAAACUAAAUAUUAAACCAUUGGUAAAACCAGGAGAAAGUAUCUCUCCAUCAUCUCCCAAAAAGGAACAUUCGAAAAUUGAUGGUCUCAGUCCGAUAAUACCAGUUGUUACUAAACUAAAUAUAAAACCUAUUGUUAGGCCAGAAGAAGCUGAACUAGCAAAAUCUAAGGAUGAGUCUGUGGAAAAAACGAUUGUCAAGAAUCCCCCUCUGGUUAUGAAAAUAAACAUGAAAACUAUGGCUGAGAAUUAUAAUAAUGAACAUGCUUGCAACAAUUUUAGCGAUGAAACACUGUCUAUGUCGCCUAAAAGUAUGAAGGUAGCUAAUGCGUUAGAAAAUAAAACUGAAACAUGCCUAGAAAACAAGAAUAUUAAAAGAACGUGUGAAACAGUCAAUGAUGUAACUACUUCGGUAAAGGAACAUUCUGCUGAAGAAAAAUGUAAGCAAAACUGUGUACCUGACUUAAUUGAGGAGAAAAAAGAAAGUGAUGAUAGAGCACAGAGUUCAUCAGUAAAUGAAAAGCCAACACAGUCGGCUAAUGCUGCUGAUAAUGAUUCUUUAGUUACUGGGUCCAAUCAACCUGAGACUGGUUCAGAGAAAAACCCUAAUAUUGUGAAUGAAAGUCCCUCUAGCAAAGAAUUAAAAAAUAUUAACUAUGCAUCUACAGAUGGUAGUAAAGAUUCAAGUAUGAAGCAAACAGCAGGAAGACAGAAAAUGUCAUCAUUACAGAAUUGUAUCUUACUGAAAAAGCUUUUGGAAAGUACCAAACCCAGUAUAGAUAAAGGCCAAGAGGCGCCUUCAACAACAGUAAACUACGAUGCAUCAACUGAGAAAAAUGAUAAUAAUGUGGUGAACAGUGAUCAUUUAGAUCAAUCAGAAAAUUCCUGUUUAGGAAGAAAUAAUUCUGGUAUUCCUGAUAUUAAUGAAAAGAAAAGUCCUACUCCUGAUAGGAUCAAGGAUUCAAAUAAAGCAUUGGAGUCAGACAUACAUUCUUCACAAGAACUUCGUGAUAAACCAGUAGAGAACGUUACUAAGCCGUUAGAAAUCAUAAUAUCAGAUAAAAUUACAAAUCAAAGUUCAGGCCAAGAUUCUCCAAGAAUAAUAUUAAAAAUUAAUAAGACUGACCAUGGUCCCUCAGCUAAAAUAAUCACUGAAGAUGUGGUGCGGCCAGAAACGCAACAGAAUUAUACCGAAAAUACUCAAGAAAUAUUAAAUGAUAAGCAAAGUCCAAAAAAAUAUGCAAAUAGUAGGAGAAAACAAACAAUGGAUACAUCAUUGAAUUUAUCAACUGGAAAACGAUUACGAAGCUCAAGAAUUGUUGAAAAUACAGAGAAGACCCCUAUUGCAAAGCGAAAUAUGGGCAAACGGCCGUCUACUACAGAAACUAGCCCUACUCAAAAUAAAGAAUCUGAUCUUUCUCUAUUACAAAGUAAGAGAUUAAAAUUAGGACAACUUUUAUCUAACAAGUCUUUAUCCAUAACUCCUGUUUCGAAAUCACCUCCAUCACCUACAAAAUCAAGUAUAGAUAUGAAACAAGGAGUUAAAACUGUUAACCAUGCCUUGUUGAAUAACGAAAACUGUUCAAAGAAUGGCAACUCAAAGUUACACAAUAUUCUAUCGAAUUUACAAGCACAACAAAUGCAAUCAUUACCUUACUCACUUACAAAUUGUUCAGAAAAAGCUCAAACUGUGGCUUCAGAUAUAGAAUUAAAUGCCUCAGUGAGCAACUCGGAUGCGGUUGAAAUUGCUCAUGUAGAAAACUCGCAUCCGGAACUUCAGGAGAUGAUAAUAAAUGAAAACUCAGACUACCGCGACUUGACAGCUCCUGAGGAAGUUUCUCAGGAUCCUUUAGAAGUGAAGCCUGCUGAAGAACCGCCAGAAAUCGUCGACAUUCCUAAGCCAGUGGAAUUAACGCCACAACCUAAGAAACGCGGCCGACCACGGAAAUUGCCAGUGUCGGAAGGCGCAAAACCUGUAACAUUGCCAGUUCCCGCCCUUGAGGAGCGGCCACAGCGGUCACUCCGUCUUAUGAGGGACAGGCCGACAAUAUUGCAGAAGCCGCGCGGUCGUGGUCGAGGCCGGGGAGGCAGACGCGUAGAAACCACGCCGCCCACGGAGCUCGAGACCAUCGUAGUUAUAGAACCCGCGGACGAGCCCGAAGACCGGCCGCCUGCCGCCGAGAUCGACCCAACCAGCUCGAGAAUCAAGCUACCACGGAUGACGGAGGCUCUCGACAAUAUGCCCUCGUCCUGUGUAACACCAUUAUCGAGUCGACGGCGAAAUUCCUCAGGGAAUUUCUCUAGUGAAACUCCGGAGCUAAAGGUUAUGGUCGAAGGCUCGAAAUUAGAUGAAUUCACGAAGACUCCAGAAGCCUGCGGUUCAGCGAGGGGACGGGGUAGUCGAGGCGGGCGAGGGGGACGCGGGCGGACGCCGCGCGGCCGUGGCCGGGGGAGGGGUGGAGGCCGCGGCGCUAUGUACAUGAAGGAAACUAUGGGCAUCUAUGGGCGAGUGUGUGGUCCAGCUACUACAACGGUGCAGCUGUUCGAAGAAGAAACAUGUAUGAUGGACGAUAACGCUACGCCCGCCAAGCCCUCACACUUACUCGACGAGGAUUCUCAAAGUUCCGUGAAGAGUUCGACAAAUGACAGCAAUAAACUGAAGAAAUCUAAAUUCGCUGAUUUGUUCGACAGUAAUAAGGUGUGGACGGCCGCCGAUGUAAAGGAAUACACAUGGCCGCCUCCUGAUAAGGCUGAUGUUGAACAUAAGGUGAUGAUGAUACAAGAGCAAGUGGCGAUGUUCUUAGGAGUGAAAAGCUUCAAGCGACGGUAUGCUGAACUUCAGAGGCGGACAAUCUCCGGUGAGGAAAGGGACUAUGUACUCAGUAAAGGUCUCGUGACUGAAGCAUUAUGUGACCUUGGAAUCACCGCGGUAGACGCCAGUGAAGUACUGGAUAUCAUGUUGUCAGACUACCCACAUAAAUACGAAGAGUACCGGUCGCACCAACGGCAGAGACAACUGACUGAAACUGUCGAGGAACCCGUGGUAGACGUCAAAACUGAAGAAAAGGUCGUUAAGGUGGAAAUGAAACCGGAAAAACCGGUCGAACAUAAACCUGAACUGCCGAAAAUUGAUCCCGAGAAGACAAGACAGGACAUGGCGAUGGCGGCGAUAGCGUCGGCGAGCGAGUGGAACGCGCGCAACAACGCGCUGCGGCGCGGCGCCUGCGCAGACCUGCAGUCCCUCACCGUGCUGCGCCCCCGCCCCGCGCCCCGCGCCCCCGCGCGGCCGCACCUGCGCCCGCCCGCCGGCUUCUACCCGCACGCGCUGCUGCCCGGCCAGUACCAGCACUCCUACCGCGUCUACACGCCCGACCAGCUCAGGUACUUCCCGCUGAACACAGUAGUAGCGGCGCCGCCGGCCCCCGCGUCAGAAGACUGGAGUUCGGAGUCGGAACCCGAUUGGGGCUCGCGAUUCUCUUCCUCUGAUGAUUCUGACGUGCCCACUCAUCAUUCUGCUAAGCGCAAAAAGCUUACAAAGACGAAGCGCAGCAGUCACACAGAAGUUGGCGGCAGCAGCAAGGAGGAUAGCCGGGCGACGGAGGAGGUGGACCUGUGCCGCGUGUGCAAGAUGCGGCUCGAGGCCAACCGCCGCUACACGCACGAGCGCUUCCUCGUCUGUGCACACUGCAACGCCAAGCUGCACCCGUCUUGCCUGGAGCUGAGCGCGGACACGAUCCGCAAGUGCCGCGAGUACGCGUGGCAGUGCGCCGAGUGCAAGUCGUGCUGCGCCUGCCGCCAGCCCGCCGACGACGACAAGAUGCUGUUCUGCGACCUCUGCGACCGCGGCUUCCAUAUCUACUGCGUCGGACUCGACACCGUGCCUAGCGGGCGAUGGCACUGCGUGGAGUGCGCGGUGUGCAAGUCGUGCGGCGCGCGGGCGCCGGGCGGCGACUGGCACCACCAGACGCGGCGCGGGCCCGGCGGCCACAAGCUCUACUCGCACUCGCUCUGCACGCCCUGCGCCAGUAAUACCAAGAGGGGCCCGAACAAAACCUGAGCUUUCUCAAAAGAAGAGUAUAUAUCGAGGGAUGCAGAUAAAAAGUACAGAGUUUAAUACAAAGUCAUUAAAUGAUUUUUAUGUGUAUAUGUUUACGUAUUAAUUGGUCUUGGUAGUAGAUGUGUUCUCACGUCAUUUGAUGCGUGUUUGUUGUGGACUAACACGUGCGUGUCAUGGUGUCUCGACGUCCGCCUUCACUCUGUCGACAUCCGCUUUGUCUCUGGUAUCGUAGCAUUUUGGCCCCGCAGAAUGUUUACUUUCGCCCCAAAGCAGCGUUCUUACUCAGCACAUCCCAGUAUCAUAUAAGUUGCAUGCCAUCCCCUUAGACAUAAGUUUAUUAUUUAUGCAUAUUUGAAGAAUGUUUGUUGAUUGUUAUAAUCUAUUAAUAAUUUCUUUAACUUUGUAUAUUUAUUGUAUUAAAGUCUAAUCAUUUGCGAGCAAACAGUCUUCACAGAAAGAACAGCAAAGUGGAACAUUUAUGCGAAGCACCGCCAAUUUGGUAUAAGGGAAUCACUCUCUCUAGCACUGUCUUUAUACAAAGUUGCUUUAUUUGCAAACACUGAACUGACAGUUGAGUCAAAAUUUAGGCUUACCCUUGUGGAAAUGAGAAAACUGCCAACUUUACUGUUCCUCCUAUUUUAUUAAUUAUUUUAAUACUUUCAUUUGUUCCAUAAUUGAUGCAAUACACAUUAGGUAGCUAAUAACUUUUGUAUUUCCGUAUAUUUGUUGUUGAUUUGAUGGUUGUACUGCGUCAAUUAGCCUUGUAUCAUCAAUGACAAUGGGUGUCGACAUCUCACCAGUCAUCUUGCAGUCGGCUGCGACUAACUCACAUCCAUACUGUUAACUAACAAGGGCGUAGUACCAUCAGUCCCCAGAGCGUUCACUAACUCGACAUUAUGUUGGUUGCUCGUCUUCGCACUCGAUACACAUUGGACCUUUUUGUUAUCCUAUAUUUUGUAGCUAGUCAUUUUGUUUUAAACGGUUGUUUGUAACAUUUUUGUUAUUUAUUUAGUUAAAUAGUAGUUUUCUCAUAUUUGCGUAUUUAUCAAUGUGUAUUUUUAAGCAAUGUUGCGUAAUUGAAUAUAGUUGUUGAAAGUGGUGAAGUUCUUAAAAAAUAAUGCUGAGCAGCCACGCCACUAGAUUUACAAAUUAAGUCAGAUUCAAUGGGAGUAUAUCGAGGACUAGCAACAGAACGUAUGAACGAAGCGAGACCGUCCACUCGGCGCGGGGUUUCGGUGUUAAUACUAAUGGCGUGUUUCUGUGUUCCGGUGCUUGUGCGCGUACGGUCCGUAUGUGUGUGUGCGUGCGUAGGGCGUAUCGCAUCGGUCGCUACUGCCCGCUCUGCGAGCGCUCCUUCAUCGGCCCGAAGGGGACAAUGCAGCUCGUCAUAUGUAAGCUCUGCGAUAGGCAACUGCAUCAAGAGUGCGUUAGGCAGACGGUGUCGAGCCUGAACGUGCUGG
rnacentral:misc_RNA from 1 species